rnacentral:rRNA from 1 species
GAAGAACCUUACCUACCCUUGACAUCUAGAGAAUUUUUUAGAGAUAGUAGAGUGCUUUAGGGAGCUCUGAAACAGGUGUUGCAUGGCUGUGGUCAGCUCGUGUCGUGAGAUGUUGGGUUAAGUCCCGUAACGAGCGCAACCCUUGUCCUUAGUUGCCAGCGGGUUAAGUUGGGAACUCUAGGGAGACUGCCGGUGAUAAACCGGAGGAAGGUGGGGAUGACGUCAAGUCAUCAUGGCCCUUAUGGGUAGGGCUACACACGUGAUACAAUGGUCGGUACAGAGGGUUGCCAACCCGCGAAGGGAAGCAAAUCCCAGAAAGCCGAUCCUAGUCCGGAUUGGAGUCUGCAACUCGACUCCAUGAAGUCGGAAUCGGUAGUA